rnacentral:rRNA from 1 species
CACGUAGGGGGCAAGCGUUGUCCGGAUUCAUUGGGCGUAAAGAGCGCGCAGGCGGCUUGGUAAGUCGGAUGUGAAAACCCGGAGCUCAACUCCGAGCGUGCAUCCGAUACUGCCCGGCUAGAGGUAGGUAGGGGAGAUCGGAAUUCCUGGUGUAGCGGUGAAAUGCGUAGAGAUCCGGAGGAACACCAGUGGCGAAGGCGACUCGCUGGGCCUAUUCUGACGCUCAGACGCGAAAGCAUGGGGAGCGAACGGG